rnacentral:ncRNA from 1 species
GGGCGCCGCAAUUAGGACGAUCAGAAGCGCAGCAGGUUGAUUUUUUCCCUCUUUAUCCUGUUCCUGGGUACGUCUCCCGCUUCCGAUCCGGGUUCCCCGUCGGUGGGGAACGAGGGCAGAGGCUCGCCGCGGCGCCGCAUCCACGAGGAACGGGGUUCAGAGAGGGACCUCAAAAACAGCCCAGGCAGCGGCCCCACAAAUCACCCGCUCCUGACCCAGAGAGGCAGCGAUGAAAAAAACAACAAUACAGGACACGGGCGGCUUUGUAACCGGAACGAGCGUGCUUUAAAUCCUUUAAUAAGGAUUCGUCGGAGGGAAAGCCGGUGCCAGCAGCCGGGAUAACUCCGGCUCCGGCAGC